UACAGAGGGUGCGAGCGUUAAUCGGAAUUACUGGGCGUAAAGCGCGCGUAGGCGGCUUUGCAAGUCGGGUGUGAAAUCCCCAGGCUUAACCUGGGAACUGCAUUCGAGACUGCAUUGCUAGAGUAUGGGAGAGGGAAGCGGAAUUUCCGGUGUAGCGGUGAAAUGCGUAGAUAUCGGAAGGAACACCAGUGGUGAAAGCGGCUUCCUGGUCCAGCAUCGACGUUCAGGCACGAAAGCGUGGGGAGCAAACAGG
rnacentral:rRNA from 1 species